UGAAUACCAUAUGCUACGGCGUCGAAGCAGUCUAUGUCAUACUUCCAAGAAAAGCUUGCACUGUCAUAAACAAAUAAUGCCUGUACCAUAACCGACACAGGUGGGUAGGUAGAGUAUACUAAGGGGCGCGAGAUAACUCUCUCUAAGGAACUCGGCAAAAUGACUCCGUAACUUCGGGAGAAGGAGUGCCUUCUUUAGAAGGUUGCAAUAACAAGAUCCAAGCAACUGUUUACCAAAAACACAGGUCUCCGCUAAGUCGUAAGACGAUGUAUGGGGGCUGACGCCUGCCCAGUGCCAGAAGGUUAAAGAAGUUGGUUAGCAUUCGCGAAGCUGAUAACUGAAGCCCUGGUGAACGGCGGCCGUAACAAUAACGGUCCUAAGGUAGCGAAAUUCCUUGUCGGGUAAGUUCCGACCCGCACGAAAGGCGUAAUGAUUUGGAUACUGUCUCGGAGAGGGACUCGGUGAAAUAGACUUGUCUGUGAAGAUGCGGACUACCUGCACCUGGACAGAAAGACCCUAUGAAGCUUUACUGUAACUUGAAAUUGAAAUUGGACUUUAUUUGCGCAGUAUAGGUGGGAGGCCUUGAGAAUAAUCUUGCGGGAUUAUUGGAGCCAUCAGAGAGAUACCACUCUUGUAAUGUUAGAUUUCUAACUUUGGAUCAUGAUCUGGUCAAAGAACAGUUUCAGGCGGGCAGUUUGACUGGGGCGGUCGCCUCCCAAAUGGUAACGGAGGCGCACAAAGGUUUCCUCUGAACGGGUAGAAAUCGUAUCUAGAGUGUAAAGGCAUAAGGAAGCUUGACUGUGAGACCUACAAGUCGAGCAGGGACGAAAGUCGGUCUUAGUGAUCUGACGGUGCUGAGUGGAAAGGCCGUCACUCAACGGAUAAAAGUUACUCUAGGAUAACAGGCUGAUCUCCCCCAAGAGUUCACAUCGACGGGGAGGUUUGGCACCUCGAUGUCGGCUCAUCGCAUCCUGGGGCGGUAGUACGUCCCAAGGGUUGGGCUGUUCGCCCAUGAAAGCGGUACGCGAGCUGGGUUCAGAACGUCGUGAGACAGUUCGGUCCAUAUCCGGUGUAGGCGUUAGAAUAUUGAGAGGAGCCUUCUCUAGUACGAGAGGACCGAGAAGGACAUACCUCUGGUGUACCAGUUAUCGUGCCAACGGUAAACGCUGGGUAGCUAUGUAUGGAGUGGAUAACCGCUGAAAGCA
rnacentral:rRNA from 1 species